AAGGGCACCACAAGAACGCGUGGAGCAUGUGGCUUAAUUUGACUCAACGCGGGGAAUCUUACCGGGUCCGGACACACUGAGGAUUGACAGACGGUUAUUGACUUAUACUCGCUUAAUGGCUUUAAGCUGUUAAGUGUUUAACACCUUUACACAAAGAUGCUAGUCCUUUCAUGAUCGUUUGAUAGGUGGUGCAUGGCCGUUCUUAGUUCGUGGAGUGAUCUGUCUGCCUAAUUGCGUUUCACUAAGGUCCCAUUCUUCAUACGUAUGAAUAGCGUCUUAACUCACUUUUACCGCUACCUAUUUGUAGUAAGCGCUCAUACUAUUGGGACCGGAAUGCAACGAGCGCGACUGCACCACCUAAUUGCCCCUUAUCUACCAUUAAUUACUUUAUUAACCGCCCUGUACGGGCACCGGGGCCUUACCUUUACUGAAACUAGCUGGACCGCUGCUUUCCUUUAAGCCAGAGGAAGGUUGCGGCAAUAACAGGUCUGUGAUGCCCUCAGAUGUUCCGGGCCGCACACGUGCUACAAUGAUCAGCACAAAGAGUAUUACCUAUCUUCUUAUACCUAACCCAAUAUGUUAAACUUAUUGCGUAAGGAUAUUGUCUUAACGACUUAUCCGCUUUAGCGCUUUAAGAUUAUUGGACGGUUAUGCCUGCCUCGAAAGAGUGUACAGGGCAGCAAGAGUAAUGAUUCCCUCGUUUUUACUACUAAUACCGCGCUUGGUAACAUAUUACACUCGAUUAAGUAGGGUCUUUGCUUUUAAUAGCAAUUGCUAUCCUCACCCUUAGGCUCUAAGGAUAUUACUAUCUCUCUAAGGUCUACAGGGAGGUGUAUAUGGCGCACUUACUUAUUCACGGUGGGGACAGACCAUUGUUAACUG
rnacentral:rRNA from 1 species